rnacentral:misc_RNA from 1 species
ACCAGGGCCACCAUUCAGCGCAUUGACUGAUGGGAGGUUAUCACUCUAUUACAAAUUGCUGAAAACCGGCAUACAGGGCAAGUUGCACGCCUAAUUUAAUGGCAUGAAUUCUAGCAAGAUCCCAUUCCCGCUUUGAAACUUCUAACAGCAGCCAUUAUAAUUUGACCUGAUGCAUUUCUAACAACCAUGCCAAAACUCACUAAACAGGCAUCGCUUACACCUGCAUCAGUGUUAAGCUCG